rnacentral:rRNA from 1 species
AGUGAACGCUGGCGGUAGGCCUAACACAUGCAAGUCGAACGGCAGCACAGUAAGAGCUUGCCCUUAAGGGUGGCGAGUGGCGGACGGGUGAGGAAUACAUCGGAAUCUACUUUUUCGUGGGUGAUAACGUAGGGAAACUUACGCUAAUACCGCAUACGACCUACGGGUGAAAGCAGGGGAUCUUCGGACCUUGCGCGACUCAAUGAGCCGAUGUCGGAUUAGCUAGUUGGCGGGGUAAAGGCCCACCAAGGCGACGCUCCGUAGCUGGUCUGAGAGGAUGAUCAGCCACACUGGAACUGAGACACGGUCCAGACUCCUACGGGAGGCAGCAGUGGGGAAUAUUGGACAAUGGGCGCAAGCCUGAUCCAGCCAUACCGCGUGGGUGAAGAAGGCCUUCGGGUUGUAAAGCCCUUUUGUUGGGAAAGAAAAGCAGCAGGUUAAUACCCCGCUGUUCUGACGGUACCCAAAGAAUAAGCACCGGCUAACUUCGUG